UACGUAGGGGGCGAGCGUUGUCCGAAUUUACUGGGCGUAAAGCGCGCGUAGGCGGUUUCUUAAGUCUGGGGUGAAAGGUUCAACGCUCAACGUGAACAGUGCCUUGGAUACUGGGAGACUUGAGUCUGGGAGGGGGUAGUGGAAUUCCUGGUGUAGCGGUGAAAUGCGUAGAUAUCAGGAGGAACACCGGUGGCGAAGGCGGCUACCUGGCCUAAGACUGACGCUGAGGUGCGAAAGCGUGGGGAGCAAACAGG
rnacentral:rRNA from 1 species